GAACCCUACAGGAUAUUCUAACAUCUCGAAAACUACUAUCUUCUUUUUUCCUUCAUUACAUCUGAGUUCUUUACAUAGAUUCACGGAGUCAUGGCCUAGAGUUUAAAUUCAGAUCCUCUUUCUUCUUGCGUUUAAUCUAUCACAGUAAUUUAUAUAUCAUGGCAAAAAUUAUUGUCUUUAUAUCAAAUCUGAUGGUUUGCAUUGAAAUUCGAUUUGCGAUAGCCAUUGCUCUUGUUCUCCUCACAUGUUACAUUUUUACAUGAAUCUUUGUUAAUUUUCUACUCUUAAUAGAUAUAAAUUGCUUCUUUCAUUUUUUUGUUUGAUUUUAAUUGAUACUUGCAAGUUGCAAUUAUUCAAUUUUACUCGUUUUCAAACCCCAGGUUAUAGAUUUUGUUGAAUUUCUAUUUGUACAAUUAAUCUCUUAGUUUCUAGAUAUUUUCUUAUACAUUAGUGAUUUACUGGAUUGCUAAUUUCAUUUUUUUUGGAUCUAUUUCUUUACAUGUAAAACUUGACAUUGAUUUUGUUACUCCAUUCUUUCAUAGUUUUAGAGUUAUUGGUUGGACCAAAGCAGAGUUUGGACCUCGAAUAGAAGAAAAAGAAGGGGUUUUUUAAACCAAAGAUCACCUUCUCAUUAUAUUCCAUGAAAAUGGUGGGCAGUAGAAUCGUCGAGCCUCUAACAGCAAGGGCGAAUAUUGCUGAAUGUGGAUAUGGAUCAAGUAACAAUGCUUGACAAGGUUCUCAAUCUGAAGGAGAUUCGUCAAACACAACUAUUUUUGUUGGAGGGCUUGAUCCUAGUGUCAUAAACGAGGAUCUUAGGCAACCUUUCUCUCAAUAUGGGGAGAUAUUUUAUGUUAAAAUUCCAGUAGGGAAAGGAUGCGGAUUUGUGCGAUUUGCAAACAGAGGUCAUGCUGAAGAGGCUUUGAAUAAGCUAAACGGGUCAGUUAUAGGAAAGCAAAUUGUCUGUCUUUCAUGGGGCCGCUAACCUACAAACAAACAGUCAAGAGGUGACUAUGGAAAUAUGUGGAAUGGAGGCUACUACGGAGGACACAUAUAUGGUGGUGGUAACGGAUACGUACCACACCCCCAUGACCAAAGCAUGUAUGCAGCAGCGACAGCAGCUUACUGAGCCUACCUUGUAUACGACAAUCAGCAACAAGUAAGCUGAUGACAAAGACACGAAAAAAGAAGUAGCGCGCAUGAGGAGAAGCCUCAAGAUUAUCGAUAAGCGUUUCGUAUAGCACUACCUAGCCGUAGAUUUGUAUGAAGAUUUUUUAACUUGGUGUCAAAGAUCAGAAAUUGUUCAGCGCCCCUGAUGGAUCGUUUGAUGCUGAAUUAGAGAUUUGUUUGAAAUUUCUGGUUGAGAGUUACAUUUCACAUGUGGUUUAAGACAAGCCAAAGUUUAUUAAGAUUGGAAAAAGCAAUGUAGGUGCAACAAGAGAAUAGGCCAGGACAGUUGAGCAUCAAAACAAGCGACUAUAUCGUCUAUAAGGCCAUCAUCUAUCUAUUUUGGUUUUUAGUCUUAUAAUAGUGAUGUAUUAUUUAGGGACAAGCUACUAUAAUAUGCGACGUUUUUUUUUUGUUUUUUUUUAUUAUUAUUAUUAAUUGUGUUGAUGUUUUCUUUUGUAAAUUUGGUAAUUAACUACGUACUCUUAUUGUUGUUGAUUAA